rnacentral:lncRNA from 1 species
UGCCAAUACUCUACCAGGUGCCUGUUAGAGGGGAAGACCUGCCAAAGAGGAGUGCUUAAAUUGAGGACUAAACUCCCCUUAAAAAUGGGAUUAACACUCAUAAUUUCACCCAUCUAAAGGUGGCCCUUUACAUGUGAGGGGCAAGAAUGCCAGAUAAAUGUGAGCUGUGUCUGCUGCUGACUGGAAAAUGCAGAAAGAGGAGUGAUCUGGAUGUGUGAGAGAGGGAGCACAGGAACCUCUGGAAAGGCCACCAGAAACUCUUCCAAAAAUUGAAAGCCAUCAUCCAGGGCUCCUCCAGAUGUACCGUGUUCUGCAUGUACCAUGGAGUGGAAAGGAACAAAGUGAUUAUCUGAUUGUCCCAGGGAAAUGAAGCAGAGGUGUUAGAGCGCAGCAGUCAUAUCCACCGACAUGCCUGACAGGAAAACAUAAUGCAGACUUAAUGUAAAGAGGGAAUAAAACUGCAUCUGUUACCA